UACGUAGGGCGCAAGCGUAUCCGGAAUUAUUGGGCGUAAAGAGCUCGUAGGCGGUUUGUCGCGUCUGCCGUGAAAGUCCGGGGCUCAACUCCGGAUCUGCGGUGGGUACGGGCAGACUAGAGUGCGGUAGGGGAGAUUGGAAUUCCUGGUGUAGCGGUGGAAUGCGCAGAGUAUCAGGAGGAACACCGAUGGCGAAGGCAGAUCUCUGGGCCGUAACUGACGCUGAGGAGCGAAAGCAUGGGGAGCGAACAGG
rnacentral:rRNA from 1 species